GCCUGAGGGAUAGCUCAGUCAGUAGAGCAUGAGACUCUUUAAUCUCAGGUUCGUGGGUUCGAGUCCCCUGUUGGGUG